GUAUAAUUGUGCAUUUGGUGGAAAUGGUUGUAACGACAGAAGACCACUGGAACUCGCAUGGCUGCCGUUUUUGUGACCCCAAGAUCCAAGAACCAGGAAGACGAUGAGCAGGGACGGAUACUCACUCAUCCGCACGGACCAGACGUUGGGCAGCCUGGGACGGAGUUAGCUCACUUGGUCACGUUAUUGAGGUCCUGUCUCUGAUCGUGCUGCCUCCACCCCAGCAGACGAUGGCAUGGAACACUCCAGGGGCCACCACAGUGUAUAUGGGUGUUAAGAUGGUGUUUUUGUUUAUUUGUCCAUGCGUGGUGUAAUCUAAUGUGUGCAAUAUGUUAUAUUUGUUACUUAUUACUCAUUUUUAGUUUUUCAUUGCAUUUUUCUUUCAGUUCCUGCAUGUAACAAUGGCGCCGCCCACGUGGCAGCUGGUUGCAACAGCUCUGUGCUCUUUUAUAUCCUUCUUUGUGUUCUUUAAUGUUUUCUCGCUUGUUUUCAUGUCACUUUUUGGUUUAAACGCCUUUGGAACUGCACAACCUGGGGUGGCACUUUUGUGACAUUUGCGCUACUUUUAAUACUUUUUUGUGGACUUUUUGAAUCUGCACUGUGACCACAUAAUUUCCCCAUUAUGGGAUAUAUAAAGUCUAGCCCAGUGGUUCUUAACCUUGUUGGAGGUGCCGAACCCCACCACUUUCUUACGCGCAUUCCCCGAACCCUUCUUCAGUGAAAUAUAAUUUAAUUUUUUUUCAAAUUCAAGACAAAGUUAUAUGUUUUUUUACUGGUGCACAAUAUGAACCGUGCAUUAACAUCACCUUGUUCAAAGAACAAAACCAACACAGUGCAUGAACUCACAACAAAUUACACACCUACAAAUCAGAUUGAAAAUUAGAGGGAACAUUGUUUGGGGGUAUCCAUUAUACGCCGAUAGGGAGAAGUUUUUAUUUACAC